CGCUGGCGGCGUGCCUAAUACAUGCAAGUCGAACGGUCUUUCUAUGGAAGCUUGCUUCCACUGAGAAGAUAGUGGCGAACGGGUGAGUAACACGUGGGGUAACCUGCCCAUAAGAGGGGGGAUAACAUCCGGAAACGGGUGCUAAUACCGCAUAGUUUUCUUGAUCGCAUGAUCGGGAAAGGAAAGACGGCCUUUGUGCUGUCGCCUAUGGAUGGACCCGCGGCGUAUUAGUUAGUUGGUGAGGUAACGGCUCACCAAGACGAUGAUACGUAGCCGACCUGAGAGGGUGAUCGGCCACAUUGGGACUGAGACACGGCCCAAACUCCUACGGGAGGCAGCAGUAGGGAAUCUUCCGCAAUGGACGAAAGUCUGACGGAGCAACGCCGCGUGAGUGAAGAAAGGUUUUCGGAUCGUAAAACUCUGUUGUCAGAGAAGAACAAGUUGGAGAGUAACUGCUCCAGCCUUGACGGUAUCUGACCAGAAAGCCACGGCUAACUACGUGCCAGCAGCCGC
rnacentral:rRNA from 1 species